AAUUUGUGCCAUAGACUUUUAACACAUUAAUAUGGUAUUUUAUUUUCAAACAGUAAUUGUUUUUUAAAAAUAACAAAGUAUUGUUACAAUUUUGUUUAGUAAUAAAACAGUAAUUAAAUAAAUAUAUUAAAUAAAUAAAAAAAAUUUUCAUAAAAUUGGAAUUAUUUAAUUUCGUAUAUAUUUAUAAUUACAUCAUUAUUAAACAUAAUAUUACACAUAAUAAUUUUUAUAGCAAUUAAAAAUGGGUUAUGUAAAUCAAAGUCCAUGAUCCAAUUAUAAUGGGUUUCGUAAAUUAUAUGUCCAUGGCCCAAAUUGUUUUUUCCCCACAAAACCUUAUGUGAGCUUAUACUGUCUUAAUCAAGUUUUAAUUUUGUCGGUGGAUGAUGAACAAAAAAGUGAAAUCUCAUUCAGUUCUUAGAAAGCCGUAGAAGACUGUGGAAGCUGAAUCUGAGUGACUAUGUUCAAUUGAAACCAGAGAAGUUUUAAUCUGCUUUGCUCCUGUCAAGAUCUCAGGUAUGGAGCACCUUAACUUGAACACGCCAUUCUGACUUGAACGGUCUGAUGUCAGCCAAAGUCGUGAGUUCCAUGCUUAAAGUUAUCGGGUCCCCUGAUUAUUAGGCAUGUAGCCGUGUAAAAGAUAUGCUCAAACUAUUAAGGAGUGGUGGUUACUUUCGAAAUAGAAGGUCAUGUAGUGGUUACGUUUGAAAAUUAAGCAUUGCAGUUACCAUAUAAAAAAAAUAUGUAUUGUUGAAAUAAUUGUUAGACCCUACUUUUAUCAAUGGGUCACACUACUGUUUUAAUAGAAUAGAUGGUCCCGAUUAGUAGGGGAAUUACAUAUAAAUAGAGGUUCUUUCUACAUAUUCACAUCUUUAUAUAAAUGAUGUUUAAUGUUUAAUUAAUUAAUAUCUAUUGAUUCAGUUAUCGGGUCCCCUGAUUAUUAGGCAUGUAGCCGUGUAAAAGAUAUGCUCAAACUAUUAAGGAGUGGUGGUUACUUUCGAAAUAGAAGAUCAGGUAGUGGUUACGUUUGAAAAUUAAGCAUUGCAGUUACCAUAAAAAAAAGUAUGUAUUGUUGAAAUAAUUGUUAGACCCUACUUUUAUCAAUGGGUCACACUACUGUUUUAAUAGAAUAGAUUUAUGAGUUCUAUGGUUGCAAAAAGGAGACUAAUGGAACGUAUGAUAAAUCAUGAAAGUGAUUCAAAAUCAAUUAUCGAACCCCACUCAAACAGUAUGAUAGUAUUAUUCCAUGUUAUUUUAUCUUUUGAAACAAGGCUUGAUAGUAUUAAACUUUUGUUCUCCGAAAAAUUUCACGAAGGGAUUUGUCAAAAAUAACUCAAAACUUAAUUUUAAAAGUAAAAGUGUAAUUCAAAUUCAAUCAAAUGUAAGAACUCAAAAAACUAGUGAAAUUACAAAAAUCAUCUUAUGAUCAAACAAAAAAUUUGUGUUGAAUUUUAUUAUUAUAACCAAUUCGUAUGAGAAGACUUCUAAAAAAAAUAAGUCUUUUCUGAGAAAAUUUCUUUGUAAAUUUUUUCGUAGAAUAGAUCUUUAAAAUAAUUUAAUUUUUUUAUAAAAACUAUUUUGAUGGAGAAAAUAUUGAAAUCAUGUAAUUAUAAAAAUUUCUAAAUAAUGUUUAUAUUUAUAAAAUUGAAUUGUUUUCAACAUAGAUAAAUGAAUGUAUAUUGAGUUAUGAUAGUCUUUAGGGUUUGGUAAUAUGUGUUAUAACAUUGUUUGUAUUCUUAGGUUUAGAUUUCAGAAUCUUAACUUUAAAAACAAUUUACCUACAUGUGUCUAGUUUUGCGUAUACUACACACUCUAUAAGUUGAUUUUAAGUUUCAUGAAUUAUUUUUGCUAUUUAGUUAGUUAUUUGAUUGGGUUUGGGUUUGGAAAACUUAAUUUUCAAGAAGUCUUCUAACAUCUUCCCACCUAAAACAAAAUCUUUUAGAAGUCUUCUAUGGGAAAUCUUCUCAUGUAUUAAAUUUUAAAAAUAAUUAAUAAAUUUUAUAAAAAGUAUUUUGAAUGGUAAAAAUUAAACUCAUGUAAUAAUAAACAUUUCUAAAUGGUGUAAUUUAGUUUUAAUAAAAUUGAAAUAUUUUCAACAUAAAUGAGUAAAUGUAGAUUGAGUCAUGAUAGUUCUUGGUUUAUGAUUUCGUAACAUAUAGUAUAGUAUUGUUGGUAUUUUUACAGUUAGGUUUUGAAAUAUUAAUAUUUUAAAUUUUACCUAUAUGUAUUUAGUGACUAUCUAAUAACUUGAUUUUAAACAAAUUUUAAGCUUUUUUAAAUUUAAAAAAGUGUUUUUUGAUUAGUUAUUGAUUAUAGGAUUUAGAAGAAUUCCGGAAGAUUUCCCAAGAAAUCUUCCAAAAGGUUUUGUAACAUAUAGAGCAUUAAAAUACUUCUUGAGAAAAUUUCAUACAUGUGAAAUCUUCUAGAAAGCUUUCAAAGACUUCUAGUAAUUUAGAGUUUAGAAAACUUCUUAGAAGACUUCACGACAAAGUUUUCCAAUUCUUACUUAGAAGACUUCACGACAAUGUAUUUUGUGUGUUUUAUAUGUUAGAUUCUAUAGAUUCAAUCUAAUGCGACUGUUUUAUUUAUUAUUUAAGUAUAAAAAAUAUUUUUAAAGUUUUUCUCUAUUUUGACGUCAUUUGAAAUUUUUUGGAUAUACUGAUUUUUUUCAGAUUUGAGUCAUACUUUGUAAGAAUUCUCAUAAGAUUUUUUGGAAAGUUUUCUAAUGCUUUUUAUGCUAGAAUACUUCUAGGAAAGUCUUCCCUGGAAGUGAUUUCUUUGGAAGUCUUCUGAACCGAAAAUAUAAAACAUAAUUGAACUUUGUCUCCUUAUACAAAAAAAAACUACACAUUCUUUUUCUUCCUCUCAAAUGACUGGUACUCUCUAACCUCUUUCUAAUCUCUUUGAACUUGAAAACACCAAACUUUUUAUCACUUUCUCAUUUUUGUUAUGUUUUUCUCACUAAUUUAUCUUAUUUUUGUAGGAUUUUCAUUAUAUGGUUCUCAUCUUUCAUUCAUUUAAAGGUAGAUUUAUAAAUUUUGGAUAUUUAUUUUUGUGUGUUUUAUAUGUUAAAUUCUAAAAAGUUAUAGAUUCAACAUAAUGUGACUGUUUUAUUUAUUAUUUAAGCAUUAAAAAUUAUUUUUAAAUUUUUCUUUAUUUUGAAAUCAUUUGAAUAUUUUUGAAUUUACUGGAUUUUUUAGAUAUGAGUAAGAUUUUGAAAGAUUUUUUGAAAUUUCAAAUAAGUUUCAACAAAAAUAUAGGUUAUUUUAGGAUUAACUCUAAAUUUUAAGUCAUAUUUGAAAAAUUCCAAAUUUCAUAUCGACGUUUAAACUAAUGUUGCAUGUAUAUAAAUUCUGCAAAGAAAAAACCGAUAAAUGAAAACGCACAAACAUAACUGAAAUGUAAAAAUUUAAGCAAUUAAACUUUCAAAUAUUUGUCGACACCACAACUGAAAAGAAUACCAAUGUCUUCUAGUAAACCCAAACUAAAAAAAACAAAACCAAAAGAUGAAUCUAAACGGGU